UGCUUAAUACAUGCAAGUCGAACGGUAACAGGCCCUUCGGGGUGCUGACGAGUGGCGGACGGGUGAGUAAUGCUUAGGAAUCUGCCUAGUAGUGGGGGAUAACCCGGGGAAACUCGGGCUAAUACCGCAUACGCCCUACGGGGGAAAGCGGGGGACUUUCGGGCCUCGCGCUAUUAGAUGAGCCUAAGUCCGAUUAGCUAGUUGGUAGGGUAAUGGCCUACCAAGGCGACGAUCGGUAGCUGGUCUGAGAGGACGACCAGCCACACUGGGACUGAGACACGGCCCAGACUCCUACGGGAGGCAGCAGUGGGGAAUAUUGGACAAUGGGCGCAAGCCUGAUCCAGCGAUGCCGCGUGUGUGAAGAAGGCCUGCGGGUCGUAAAGCACUUUCAGUAGGGAAGAAAAGCCGAGUGCUAAUAUCACUCGGUCUUGACGUUACUUACAGAAGAAGCACCGGCUAACUCCGUGCCAGCAGCCGCGGUAAUACGGAGGGUGCGAGCGUUAAUCGGAAUUACUGGGCGUAAAGGGCGCGUAGGCGGUUUGGUAAGUCGGGUGUGAAAGCCCCGGGCUCAACCUGGGAAUUGCAUUCGAUACUGCCUGGCUAGAGUAUGGUAGAGGGAAGCGGAAUUCCGGGUGUAGCGGUGAAAUGCGUAGAUAUCCGGAGGAACACCAGUGGCGAAGGCGGCUUCCUGGACCAAUACUGACGCUGAGGCGCGAAAGCGUGGGGAUCAAACAGGAUUAGAUACCCUGGUAGUCCACGCCCUAAACGAUGAGAACUAGCCGUUGGAGGAGCUUUGUCCUUUAGUGGCGCAGCUAACGCGAUAAGUUCUCCGCCUGGGGAGUACGGCCGCAAGGUUAAAACUCAAAGGAAUUGACGGGGGCCCGCACAAGCGGUGGAGCAUGUGGUUUAAUUCGAUGCAACGCGAAGAACCUUACCUGGCCUUGACAUGCUGGUGGUAGAACCCAGAAACGGGGACGACUCCUCGCAAGAGGAGAGCCAGCACAGGUGCUGCAUGGUUGUCGUCAGCUCGUGUCGUGAGAUGUUGGCUUAAGUGCCGCAACGAGCGCAACCCUUGUGUUUAGUUGCCCGCGCAAGCGGGAUCUCUAAACAGACUGCCUGGCUUUAAACCAGGAGGAAGGUGGGGAUGACGUCAAAUCAGUAUGGCCCUUACGGCCAGGGCUGCACACGUGCUACAAUGCUCGGUACAGAGGGAUGCAAGACCGCGAGGUGGAGCAAAUCCCGCAAAACCGAGCCCAGUUCAGAUUGGAGGCUGCAACUCGCCUCCAUGAAGCCGGAAUCGCUAGUAAUGGCGCAUCAGCUACGGCGCCGUGAAUACGUUCCCGGGCCUUGCACACACCGCCCGUCAC
rnacentral:rRNA from 1 species